GAUAAACGCUGGCGGCGUGCCUAACACAUGCAAGUCGAACGCCCUUUUACGCAAGUGAGAGGGAGUGGCGGACGGGUGAGUAACACGUGGGUACCUACCUUGAGGUGAGGAAUACCACCGAGAAAUCGGUGACAAGACCGCAUGACUUCGGCAACGAAGAAAGUCACGCAAGUGACGCCCCAAGAUGGCCUGCGCCUGAUUAGCUAG
rnacentral:rRNA from 1 species